UUUCCGAGCGUUUGCGUUCCACAAUUUCAAGCUUUAAUUCUUGAUUGGCUUUUUCUAGCUGAGUCGUGCGCUCUUGGACUCGAUUUUCAAGUUCUUGAUUGGCUUCGGUGACUUUUUUCUUUUCAGUUUCAAGCAGACAGGCUUGCAUAUAGAGUUUGCGUGUAUGGUAUUCUAUUGAGUAGCAGGCAAACAUCCCCAGAAUGUUGGCGGAAAGAAAGAAAAAGUUGUUGUUAAUAAGAAUCGGGAUCGGUGUCGGGCUUAUCCAGAUUGCUGCAAUUUCAUACGCGAUCACUAAAAGCCAGCCGGUC
rnacentral:rRNA from 1 species